UAUUCAUCUACAAUAUUUUAUUUACAUUGCGCUCUCUUCUUUCAAGUGUAUUGUUCGGAAAACUAAACAUUGAUUUUGAUGAAUUGAUCAUGUAACAUCGGCUCUGUUGUCCAACAAAGAAUAGCGCUUAUCGCUGUCGAUAAUCGACUUGAAUAUCCCUAAACGCGAAUAAAGUAACAAAAGCAAUGAUCGAAAUAAAAUUUUAGUUCCCUGAACAAUACUUUCGAAAAAGGAGAACGCAAAGUAAACAAAAUAUUGUACGUGAAUAGUUAAAGUGAGUUAGCGGAUAAUUAUUAGAAAAUAUUGUUAAUCAGAAAUGUAUUUCAACGCGUAAACCUUCCUAAACUACUGGGUGAAGGGAAAUAUAUGCAUAGAUGGAUAUAAAAAGUAUUUUUUGGUUUUUUUUAAAAUUGGUAAUGCGGCUCAUACAUUUUACUGCCAAACUGCUGCUGCCGCUGAACAUUUCGUGUGCGUGUAUGAUUAAAUAAUGUCUAGCGCUUCUUCAAUCCAAAAAUAAUUAGAUUUUGUUGGAAAUUUUGAUGUUCGGAAUUUUUUCCAAACAUAAAAUUUGAAAAUAAAUACAAUUCAUUGGAUUGGAGGGAAUUCAGUUUUAUAAAUUGUUUUGAUCUCUAUCCUGCUUGAAAACUCACACAUUAGUCAUGUUUAUGUUGGAGAAUUUUCAAAUAAAAAAUCAUAAAGGAUGUUA